rfam:Ovis aries breed Texel chromosome 14, whole genome shotgun sequence.
UCCCUGGUGGUCCAGUGGCUAAGACUCCGCAAUCCCAAUGCAGGGGGCCUGGGUUCGAUUCCUGGUAAGGGAA